AUGUUCCUGGUGCAUGUUGUCUCUCUCCUCCUUUAUAGUCCUCUUCCACCAAUCCCAACUCUGCUACCCACAUGCCGAGUACGCUGCUCUCCUCCAAUCAGGAGCAAGAUCAGCUCCUGCAGCUCAGUCAAUCAAGUUGGUGAGAGGCAGCUGGGUAGAAGCUGUUUGCUCCUCUCCCAGCGCCAUAUUGUGGGACAGCAGAUGUAUAGAAUAACUCUUAAUUCCAGUAACAGUAUAGUCCGAGUUGCUCCCCACAGGCACCAAUCUCCUCCUCACACUCUUGGUCUGGCUCUGCUCCCCUCCUCCCCAUCCACAGCCAGGCCCUUCUCCCCACAGGCCCAUCCCUGUCCUCCCUCCAGAGCCAGACCCUGCUCCCCUCCACACCUUCAGGGCCAGCCCCUGCUCCGCUCCUGGCCUUCCAGGGCCUGGGUCCCGUACCUCUCCUUGCCCUGCAGAACUUGGCACCCACUCCAACCUUCACACUCCAGAGCCUGGGCCCCACUUCAGGGCUUCCCUACAGGGACAGGCCACACUACCCUCAACACCCUCCAUGGCUGGGCCCUGCUUGCCUCCUCGCCCUCCAAGGCCUGGGCCCACUCUGCUCGCCACCUUCCAGGGCUGGACCCUGCUCCCCACCUUGAAAACAGAGCCUGGGCCCAGCUCCACUCACUGCCCUCCAAGGCUGGACCCUGUUCCCCUCCUCACCCUCCAGGGCCAGACCCUACUCUCCUCCUCGCCCUCCAGGGCUGGGUACCGCUCUCCUCUUCCCCCUCCAGGGCUGGGCCCCUCUCAGCACGCUGCUCUCUUGGGCCAGGCCCCACUAACCUCAACACCAUCAGGGCCAAACCCUGCUCCCCUCCUUGUCCUCCACGACCUGGCCCAGCUGCCCUCCUCAACCUCCAGGGCCUUACCUGGAGGAGCAUGGCUCUGGGAAGGAAUGACUUCCAACAUGUUCUUUGGCAAAGAAAAACCUGGGCAGGAAAACGGAAAGCAUGGGCACGAGUUAAGGUGCCAGGUGACUUCUUCCCAGACAUGUGGGUCCUGAGUUCUUUGGGGCACACAAGAAGGCAGCUCAAUGGCAGAGGCCACCUCGGUCUGCAAUGCAGGCUCCUCAGUUCAGAUCUAGGAGCUCUAAGUUGUCGCAGGAGUUUCUCAUCCAGGGACCUGGGAACUUGGGCUUGGAGAAGGAAACUCAGGGUGAGAAGACUUCCCAGGGCAGAGAGCCGCCUGAGCAGAGAGUGCAGGCAAUAA
rnacentral:lncRNA from 1 species